UACGGGGGGUGCGAGCGUUGUCCGGAAUCACUGGGCGUAAAGGGUGCGUAGGUGGUGAGGUAAGUCGGAUGUGAAAGCUCGGAGCUCAACUCCGAAAUGGCAUUGGAAACUACCUUGCUCGAGGGUUGGAGGGGGGACUGGAAUACUUGGUGUAGCAGUGAAAUGCGUAGAUAUCAAGUGGAACACCAGUGGCGAAGGCGAGUCCCUGGACAACUCCUGACACUGAGGCACGAAAGCUAGGGGAGCAAACAGG
rnacentral:rRNA from 1 species